CCUUGAAAUAACUCCUGCCAGCGUGGCAGAGCCUGGAGGAGGUAUCUUGGAUCUCUUUUUGCAUGGGAAGGGACACCAAAAAAACUGUCUGUCACAGAGGCUGCUGGAGGAAGAGCAUCUGGAGGGAAGGACGGGUACCAGGGACCUGGGCUUUGCUGCACCCCUGCUGUGAGAAGACUUUGAAGCCUCCACCCUGCUGCAUGCAUGGGCACAGCUCAGCUCCUGUUAGUGUGUCCCAGGAGCAACAAAACAGCUCGUGCUUGGAUGGCAAUUGCUGGUUUGAAGAAUUAAGUGAAAGAGGACCAUGUUUUUCCUCGCUUUCCCAACCAGGAGAUUCAUGAGGUGGCCGGAUCAGGAUGUCACCCACAGAGCUCUGCGGAAAUGGGAGAUGGCUCCGGAGGGUGCAAGACACGGGUUUGGGGGAAAAUGGAAAUCAGAGAUGCAAGAGCACUUUCGCUUCGAGGUUUG